GUGCUCGCUUCGGCAGCACAUAUACUAAAAUUGGAACGAUACAGAGAAGAUUAGCAUGGCCCCUGCGCAAAUAGAUUUUUUAACACAAAUAAAAUGAGUCUCCUUUA